GUAGUUUUUUGAUAAGUCCAUCAAAGAUUGUUAUUAUUAAACUCCAAUUUAAUUUUAACCUCUGUCUUCUAUCGACUUCUUUCACAGAUACACAAGGCAAGCUUUAUUCUGUAAUUUUUUUGGCCACUAAAAAGGAAAAUCCCAAAGACUAGAGAAGAAGCUUCUCUCCAUUAUAAACAGGGGUGUUAAUGGAAAAAUGAAUCAUUGAAGCUUUUCUCUGUUUUCUUCGCAGGUUAGAGAAGAAGAAAAAAGGUGUGGGAUCCAUGCUGGUUUAGUUUCUUGCCCAUGUUUCUCAAUUUCGUUUCUGUUUUUGGGGUCUAAAUUGAGUCCUUCCAUAUCAUGCUUAGGAGUUGAAUUGGAAGCUAUAAAAUUGAAGGAAGCUAUAGAAAGGUUAAUACUUGAAUGUUGAAGCUAGAAUAGGGGUUUAGAGACCAGAAUUUGUGCUUUUUGAAGGGUUUAUGAGAAGGGAAGUGUUGCUGUAUUUUCUGCAGAAUCAGUGUUCUUUCUUCACCUGUAGACACCAACAAGAUUGUUUGAUUCCUCAAUAAACACUAGAGCUGAUAGUUGUUGCUUUAGUUGCGGCUUCGGGAGUUGGUACAUAACAAACUUGGUUGAUUCAUCAUAACUAUUUGCAGUCAACUGUGUAAGUUUCUAGAAGAUUAAAGAUCCUGCAAUGUCACUCUUUGGGUAGGCUUCUGCUCCUUGAUGAUCUACUAUUUUGUAUAUGUAUAUCUUGAGUCAUUUAUGUAUCUGCAGCUAUUUGAGUCUAGGAAUACUUUUAUUUUGGAAUGUACAAACCUUAGAUAUGUAGUCUUUCAAAUUCUGCUUGAUGGCAUAUGUUUGUAAACAGGGUUCUGAUUUUGAAAAUGUUGAAGAUACAAAAUAUACUCUGUCAAAAUUUCUAGUGAUUUUGGUUUCACAUUGUACUAUUUAUUCAAAAGCUAUUUGUCAA